UACGUAGGUGGCAAGCGUUGUCCGGAUUUAUUGGGUUUAAAGGGUGCGUAGGCGGUCCUAUAAGUCAGUGCUGAAAUAUCCCGGCUUAACCGGGAGGGUGGCAUUGAUACUGCAGGACUUGAGUGAAGUCGAAGUAGGCGGAAUUGACGGUGUAGCGGUGAAAUGCUUAGAUAUCGUCAAGAACACCGAUAGUGAAGACAGCUUACUAGACUUCAACUGAGGCUGAGGCACGAAAGUGUGGGGAUCAAACAGG
rnacentral:rRNA from 1 species